UAUCUCUGUAGAGUCUGCAUAUCAAUAAGCGGAGGAAAAGAAACUAACUAGGAUUCCCUUAGUAACGGCGAGUGAAGCGGGGAGAACUCAAAUUUGAAAUCUUCAAGGUUUUACCUUGACGAAUUGUAGUUUAAAGAAGUGUUUUCUGUUGGUGUUUUGGUAAAAGUUCUUUGGAAUAGGACAUCAUAGAGGGUGAGAAUCCCGUAUUUGACCAUUACUUCCAGCGUUGUGAUACACUUUCAAAGAGUCGGAUUGUUUGGGAAUGCAGUCCGAAAGUGGGUGGUAAAUUUCAUCUAAAGCUAAAUAUUGGCGAGAGACCGAUAGCGAACAAGUACCGUGAGGGAAAGAUGAAAAGAACUUUGAAAAGAGAGUUAAACAGUACGUGAAAUUGUCAAAAGGGAAGCGUUUGACACCAGUGUUGUUUUCUCGAAAAUCAAUUAAAAAAAGUUGGAUUUUGUAUUGUUAAGACCUUAUCAGCUUACUGUACUCUUUUCUUGCUUUUCUUAAUGCAGCUUUUCGUUUAACAAGUCAACAUCAAUUUCUUUUGUUGUAAAAGAGUCAUUGGAAGGUGGCUUUCACUUCGGUGAAAGUGUUUAUAGCCUUUCGGCUUCUGCAAUCGGAGAGAUUGAGGUCUGCAGCGUAGAUCCUUCGGGGCUAGAUACGUAGAUGCUAAGUUAUAGUUUUUUAUAGACAACUUGUUGACUAUAAUUAAUCAUGUAGCUUACUCGUUUGCGCUAUUUUACCUACGCUUAGGAUGUUGACGAUCAGCUGAGCGCG
rnacentral:rRNA from 1 species